rnacentral:rRNA from 1 species
AACGUAGGUGGCAAGCGUUAUCCGGAAUUACUGGGCGUAAAGGGUGUGCAGGCGGGGUGGCAAGGGGUGUAUGAAAUAUCCCAGCUUAACUGGGAGGGGUUAUGCCAGACUGCUACUCUAGAGGACGAGAGAGGGGCGUGGAAUUCCGGGUGUAGUGGUGAAAUGCGUAGAUAUUCGGAAGAACACCAGUGGCGAAGGCGGCUCACUGGCCCGGUACUGACGCUGAGGUGCGAAAGCGUGGGGAGCAAACGGG